GGCUCGAUGGCGGAAGGCCCGCCUCUGCACACCCUAUCUAAAUCGCAAUGGGUUUGCGCAGAAGAUCCCCGUUCGAUUCGGGGUCGAGCCA